GCAAACUCUAUAAAUUACUAUAAAGAUGAAUCAAGACAAAACCAAACGUUGAACUAGCAAUCCGAUAGUGAACAAUUAACGAACCAUUAUUGAAAUAUAAGUUUCCGAAAUCAUGUAUGGUGGAUUCUUAUCCCUUUUCUGUAACAAAUACAGAAUCCAAAGAUCAGAUCAUACAAACUAUUUUCUAUCUUAAAUCAGAGAAGAAAUACUCGAUAAUGCUAAAGCAAUAAGGAAAAUUGAAAUAUCAACAACACUUCAUCGUACGACUUUUAAAGUUUUAAACUUUAACAACUACACAUCGACAAUCAAUCAACAUCUAGGAAACACCACUGCUAAUCUAAUCAUCAAUGAGUUUCAAAUUUUCUUGUCAAAAACAGAGAAAAGUUUUCACCUUUUUUGGAGCAACGAACUAGGACAACAAGCUUUAAUCAAACAAACGUUCACCACCAGAGUUUCAAUUAACCUCACCAGAGUUCAAUGUUUUUGCCGAAAUAUGAUUUUUGGAGUGUAUUCGUCGCGAAUUCUUCAGUUACAUGGGAUUAGAGGAAUGUUCCUCCCGAAUCCCUAAUUUUCUCCCAAAGAAUCCUCCCCUUUUCUUCUUUUCCUCAAUGUCUAUUUAUAGGGAAAUAUAUUGGUUUCAAUUCAAAACAUAGCCGUUGAAAAGAAGAAGAAAUAAAUCGGUAAAGAGAAAAUAUAUCCUCCAAAAUUUAGAUUUGAACUGACAAGUUCUGAUUCGGAUUAGAUUUUGAGGGUGAGAGACACAUAAUCUUGAACAAAAGUCAACAAUAAUGAAUUUAGGUCUGAGAAUUUCAGAGAAAAGAUGGAGAGAGAUUUCUGUGGUUUAAGGGUUCGUUUGGUUGAAUUUGUCAGUGUUCGCGGUUUGCUUGGAUUGUUGGUGUGUUGCAUUGAUAUUGUGUUGUUGUUGUUUGUAUGGGUGAUAA
rnacentral:lncRNA from 1 species